AGCGGGCUGGACCCCCCCAAAAGCGCGUUGCCCCCUCCAGGGCGUGUGCGUUUGGGGCCAGCCUUGCUGAAUUAUUCACCCGUGUCUUUUGCGUACUUCUUGUUUCCUUGGUGGGUUCGCCCACCACAAGGACAACCAUAUAAACCUUUUGUACUUGCAAUCAGCGUCAGUAACAACAUAAUAAAUUACAACUUUCAACAACGGAUCUCUUGGUUCUGGCAUCGAUGAAGAACGCAGCGAAAUGCGAUAAGUAGUGUGAAUUGCAGAAUUCAGUGAAUCAUCGAAUCUUUGAACGCACAUUGCGCCCUUUGGUAUUCCAAAGGGCAUGCCUGUUCGAGCGUCAUUUGUACCCUCAAGCUUAGCUUGGUGUUGGGCGUCUUGUCUCCAGUUCGCUGGGGACUCGCCUUAAAAUUAUUGGCAGCCGGCCUACUGGUUUCGGAGCGCAGCACAAGUCGCGCUUCUUGCCUAGCUAAGGUCAGCAAUCCACAAAGCCAUUUUUUCAACUUUUGACCUCGGAUCAGGUAGGGAUACCCGCUGAACUUAAGCAUAUCAAUAAGCGGAGGAAAA
rnacentral:rRNA from 1 species